AGCAUAUCAAUAAGCGGAGGAAAAGAAACCAACAGGGAUUGCCCUAGUAACGGCGAGUGAAGCGGCAACAGCUCAAAUUUGAAAUCUGGCCUUCGGGUCCGAGUUGUAAUUUGUAGAGGAUGCUUUUGGCGCGGUGCCUUCCGAGUUCCCUGGAACGGGACGCCUUAGAGGGUGAGAGCCCCGUACGGUUGGACACCAAGCCUCUGUAAAGCUCCUUCGACGAGUCGAGUAGUUUGGGAAUGCUGCUCUAAAUGGGAGGUAAAUUUCUUCUAAAGCUAAAUAUUGGCCAGAGACCGAUAGCGCACAAGUAGAGUGAUCGAAAGAUGAAAAGCACUUUGAAAAGAGGGUUAAAUAGCACGUGAAAUUGUUGAAAGGGAAGCGUUUGCGACCAGACUUUUCCCUAGCGGAUCAUCCGGUGUUCUCACCGGUGCACUUCGCUAGGUUAAGGCCAGCAUCGGUUUCUGUAGGGGGAUAAAAGCUUGGGGAAUGUAGCUCCCUCGGGAGUGUUAUAGCCUCUUGUAUAAUACCCUUACGGGGACCGAGGACCGCGCUUUUGCAAGGAUGCUGGCGUAAUGGUUGUCAACGACCCGUCUUGAAACACGGACCAAGGAGUCGAACAUUUGUGCGAGUGUUUGGGUGUUAAACCCUCACGCGUAAUGAAAGUGAACGGAGGUGAGAGCCCUUACGGGUGCAUCAUCGACCGAUCCUGAUGUCUUCGGAUGGAUUUGAGUAAGAGCAUAACUGUUCGGACCCGAAAGAUGGUGAACUAUGCGUGGAUAGGGUGAAGCCAGAGGAAACUCUGGUGGAGGCUCGCAGCGGUUCUGACGUGCAAAUCGAUCGUCAAAUCUGCGCAUGGGGGCGAAAGACU
rnacentral:rRNA from 1 species